GGUUGAAGAUUACGAUGACAUCAUGUGCCUUAAUGCAGAGAGGGAAAACCAACGGCCGUCCCUCCUGGCGGAGAUCCUGGAGGCCCAGGACGAGAAGAAUUCUACACUGGUUUGUGAGGUUGGUUCUGACUUUGACUUAGUCUUUCUGACGGAACUCUCCGAUGUCGUGUGAGUCACGGUUUGAUCCGUCACGUAAAAGCCGCUCGCUGAUGAAGCUUUUUGGCUGAAUGUCAGAACCCCCUCCCCCUCCCUCUCUGGGGACCGGGGAGGGGACAGAUCUUCUCUCCCCUCCCCGCCAGUCGGCGACAUGUGUUCGUGGCAGCAUAUGGCAGAUACGAGCUGAUACCCGGCCAAGACAUGCUCUCACUGAACAUAUUGUGUCCAGACAUCUGAAGCAUUUUGGUGCUUUUUGUGUGAAUCUGUUCAGCUCUCCGGAGGGGGGCUGUGUCAAUAUGUCUUAUCCAAAGCAAUGGUCACAUCCAUGCCCCCCCCCCCCUCCCCAUAUAAAAGCUUUGAUUACAUGUCAUGAUAUUUAUAAGCACAUGGAGUUAAGCUAAAGAAGAUCAUUUAACCUGAUUAAACAUUGUUCCGUCAAUUUCACUGUGAACGUGAACAUUUCAUAGUUUACUGUCAAUAUUGUGACUUGUGAAAGUGUUUCUUGACUCCUCAGAGGUGUGAGGCCUUCUGUUGUUUAUCAGUCCGCAGUCCGAGUGAAGGUGUGUGUGUGUGUGUGUGUGCGCGCUCUCCACAGAGCGGCGGACUCGUCGUCGGCCUCAUGAGGAUCUCCGCUCAGGUCGAUAUGACUCGUCUGAACGCAGACUUUGAGUGCGAUGACUUCGGUGGUUUCUACAGACGUGAGGAAGUCGGCGCUCGGCGCGACGCCCGGCCGGAGGAAACACAGUCGGCUGGACGCUCCGUAAAGACUCUCAACGCCGUCUGCAUUCAGGACUUCAUUAUUGACAAGAAUUAUGUCACCAGAUCAGCGGACUUCAUUUCAUAUAUAUUCAACCUUUACCCAGUGAGUAUCGUCUUUGUGUUUAAUGAGCUCCACAAACAGACAACAGUAAAUCAUUGUAAGUGUAAACAAGGUCUAAAGGUUUUCAUGUUCAUGAAGUUUAAGAUCCUUCAUGCGUGUCUGCUUGCGUUGUCCCGCUGUCCGAUCCUCAGGACCUGGACUUCUGCAUCGUCUCCGUACCGAUGGCGUGCCCCAAACUCCCGCUGCUGCUGCAGAGCUUCCUCAGACGGACAUCUCGCGCCUCCAGCUGGCCCCCCCAGGAACUCUACGUCCUCCCCCGCGCCGGGCACAGGUGGGUUCACCGCACAAGACGAAGUCUACAACUCCGAGUGUAGUUCCUGUAGUGGGAUUAAAGUCAAACACAGAUGGAGAUUUUAUGGUCGUGGUGGUGAUCACGCAUUAGAUUUGGACCAGAUACCCAACGCAGUAGAAACAUCUGAGGCUGACGAUGCACUCGGUUGGGGGUCCCGGUUGGGGCCCCCGCUGUGGUUGCUCUUGCAGCGGCGUGGAGGUGAGACCGGCCGUGGCUGCAGACCGACCGGCUCUGUGUGAUCUGGUGAAGAAUCUGAGGCUCAGCGAGGCCCUGCUGCAGGACCUGGACCGCUUCUACGAGAGCCGCAGAGACCCGGUGAGGUUCAUCUUCAGCCCCCCAACUGUUGAGAUCAACCAUCAAACACUAUUUAUUAAUGAAUACCAAACAUAGAAACAUUAUUACAUAUCAUUUCCUAAAACUAUUUUUGUUCCCUCUACUUUUACACAUUCAGUUUGAUCCACUUGAAAAUGUCCAGCUACUAAAGAGCUAAGCUAAGCCGAGCUAAGUAUUCUAAAGAAUCAGACCCACUCAGGCCUUUAACUAUUGGUUGGCAUUAAUAAAACAACCAAAUCUGUAUCUAUUUAUUCGCUUUUUUAUAAUGUUUGUAUAAUGUUUUUUUACUUCACACAACAAAUAUGCAAAUCAAAUGUUCUUAUCAAUAUUAAACCAGCUGUCCGGUUAAACCCGUUUGGAAACCCAAAACAUGUAAAAGGCGACGACAUGAGGGUUGAAAUUCUAACCUUUAACUUUUUCAAAUGACCUCAUUUUUUUUUCGGACCUCGAGCGUGAUCGUCUCAGAAUAAGCCAACAGCCAUUCUCCUCUCCGAGUGACACUCCAGCUGUCACCGCCGCUGCCCCACCCCCCCAUAAUGACAUCAUGAGUAUUCAUGACAAAGUGCAUGCUGGGCUUUGUCGUCACACAGGGCGGCGCGGCGCUGCAGGCCUUCGUGGCCCAGCACGGCGGUCAGCUGGUGGGGACACUGAUCCUCAGAGACGAACAGGUAGGUGCACCAUGCAGGUCGUUGUCCCCAGAGGAACCUCUGUAGACUUUCAGACCUUGACUAGAAUAGAAAAUACAAAAUAAAGGUA
ensembl:lncRNA